CAUAAUUAACGCUGAAAUAUUUAUUUUCUCCUACUUCUUUCGAUUCUUUUACGCCGAUUAACAAAAAUAGAUAGAAGUAUUUAAAAAAUCGCAAAAAAGAGGUGCAACACAAGGACUUCCCAGGAGGUCACCCAUCCUAGUACUACUCUCGCCCAAGCACACUUAACUACGGAGUUCUAAUGGGAUCCGGUGCAUUAGUGCUGGUAUGAUCGCACCUGAUAUUAAAUGCGCUUUAAUUGUAUAUAUUUUAUUUCUUUCACUUAUUAACGGCAAAACAAACAUAAUUAACGCUGAAAUAUUUGUUUUCUCCUACUUCUUUCGAUUCUUUUACGCCGAUUAACAAAAAUAGAUACAAGUAUUUAAAAAAUCCCAAAAAAAGAGGUGCAACACAAGGACUUCCCAGGAGGUCACCCAUCCUAGUACUACUCUCGCCCAAGCACGCUUAACUGCGGAGUUCUGAUGGGAUCCGGUGCAUUAGUGCUGGUAUGAUCGCACCUGAUAUCGAAUGCGCUUUAAUUGUAUAUAUUUUAUUUCUUUCACUUAUUAACGGCAAAACAGACAUAAUUAACGCUGAAAUAUUUGUUUUCUCCUACUUCUUUCCAUUCUUUUACGCCGAUUAACAAAAAUAGAUACAAGUAUUUAAAAAAUCCCAAAAAAAGAGGUGCAACACAAGGACUUCCCAGGAGGUCACCCAUCCUAGUACUACUCUCGCCCAAGCACGCUUAACUGCGGAGUUCUGAUGGGAUCCGGUGCAUUAGUGCUGGUAUGAUCGCACCUGAUAUCGAAUGCGCUUUAAUUGUAUAUAUUUUAUUUCUUUCACUUAUUAACGGCAAAACAGACAUAAUUAACGCUGAAAUAUUUGUUUUCUCCUACUUCUUUCCAUUCUUUUACGCCGAUUAACAAAAAUAGAUACAAGUAUUUAAAAAAUCCCAAAAAAAGAGGUGCAACACAAGGACUUCCCAGGAGGUCACCCAUCCUAGUACUACUCUCGCCCAAGCACGCUUAACUGCGGAGUUCUGAUGGGAUCCGGUGCAUUAGUGCUGGUAUGAUCGCACCUGAUAUCGAAUGCGCUUUAAUUGUAUAUAUUUUAUUUCUUUCACUUAUUAACGGCAAAACAGACAUAAUUAACGCUGAAAUAUUUGUUUUCUCCUACUUCUUUCCAUUCUUUUACGCCGAUUAACAAAAAUAGAUACAAGUAUUUAAAAAAUCCCAAAAAAAGAGGUGCAACACAAGGACUUCCCAGGAGGUCACCCAUCCUAGUACUACUCUCGCCCAAGCACGCUUAACUGCGGAGUUCUGAUGGGAUCCGGUGCAUUAGUGCUGGUAUGAUCGCACCUGAUAUCGAAUGCGCUUUAAUUGUAUAUAUUUUAUUUCUUUCACUUAUUAACGGCAAAACAGACAUAAUUAACGCUGAAAUAUUUGUUUUCUCCUACUUCUUUCCAUUCUUUUACGCCGAUUAACAAAAAUAGAUACAAGUAUUUAAAAAAUCCCAAAAAAAGAGGUGCAACACAAGGACUUCCCAGGAGGUCACCCAUCCUAGUACUACUCUCGCCCAAGCACGCUUAACUGCGGAGUUCUGAUGGGAUCCGGUGCAUUAGUGCUGGUAUGAUCACACCUGAUAUCGAAUGCGCUUUAAUAGUAUAUAUUUUAUUUCUUUCACUUAUUAACGGCAAAACAGACAUAAUUAACGCUGAAAUAUUUAUUUUCUACUACUUCUUUCGAUUCUUUUACGCCGAUUAACAAAAAUAGAUACAAGUAUUUAAAAAAAUCGCAAAAAAGAGGUACAACACAAGGACUUCCCAGGAGGUCACCCAUCCUAGUACUACUCUCGCCCAAGCACGCUUAACUGCGGAGUUUUGAUGGGAUCCGGUGCAUAAGUGCUGGUAUGAUCGCACCUGAUAUCGAAUGCGCUUUAAUUGUAUAUAUUUUAUUUCUUUCACUUAUUAACGGCAAAACAGACAUAACUAACGCUGAAAUAUUUAUUUUCUCUUACUUCUUUCGAUUCUUUUACGCCGAUUAACAAAAAUAGAUACAAGUAUUUAAAAAAUCGCAAAAAAGAGGUGCAACACAAGGACUUCCCAGGAGGUCACCCAUCCUAGUACUACUCUCGCCCA
rnacentral:lncRNA from 1 species